rnacentral:rRNA from 1 species
UGGGGAAUUUUCCGCAAUGGGCGAAAGCCUGACGGAGUGACGCCGCGUGGGGGACGAAGGCCUUCGGGUCGUAAACCCCUGUCAGAGGGAAAGAAGGGUGUCGGCGUGAAUAGCGCCGGCACUUGACGGUACCUUCAGAGGAAGCCCCGGCCAACUCUGUGCCAGCAGCCGCGGUAAGACAGAGGGGGCAAGCGUUGCUCGGAAUCACUGGGCGUAAAGGGCGUGUAGGCGGGAUGGCAAGUCGGGCGUGAAAGCCUUCGGCUCAACCGAAGAAGUGCGUCCGAUACUGCUGUUCUUGAGGGUUGGAGAGGAGACUGGAAUUCCCGGUGUAGCGGUGAAAUGUGUAGAGAUCGGGAGGAACACCGGUGGCGAAGGCGGGUCUCUGGCCAAACCCUGACGCUGAGGCGCGAAAGCGUGGGGAGCAAACGG